rnacentral:rRNA from 1 species
GACGGAAGGUGCAAGCGUUGCUCGGAAUCACUGGGCGUAAAGGGUGCGUAGGCGGCUUCUUAAGUCUGGUGUGAAAGCCCAGGGCUCAGCUCUGGAAGUGCACUAGAAACUGAGGAGCUUGAGUACCGGAGGGGAGAGUGGAAUUCCUGGUGUAGCGGUGAAAUGCGUAGAUAUCAGGAGGAAUACCGGUGGCGAAAGCGACUCUCUGGACGGUUACUGACGCUGAGGCACGAAAGCGUGGGGAGCAAACAGGG